CCUACGGGAGGCAGCAGUAGGGAAUAUUGGGCAAUGGGCGAGAGCCUGACCCAGCCAUGCCGCGUGCCGGAUGAAGGCCUUCUGGGUUGUAAACGGCUUUUCUCAGGGAAGAAAAAGACCUUGCGAGGUAAACUGACGGUACCUGAGGAAUAAGCACCGGCUAACUCCGUGCCAGCAGCCGCGGUAAUACGGAGGGUGCAAGCGUUGUCCGGAUUUAUUGGGUUUAAAGGGUGCGUAGGUGGCCCGUUAAGUCCGGGGUGAAAGCCCACAGCUCAACUGUGGAACUGCCCUGGAUACUGGCGGGCUUGAGUCCAGACGAGGUUGGCGGAAUGGAAGAUGUAGCGGUGAAAUGCAUAGAUAUCUUCCAGAACCCCGAUUGCGUAGGCAGCUGACUAGGCUGGUACUGACACUGAGGCACGAAAGCGUGGGGAGCGAACAGGAUUAGAUACCCUGGUAGUCCACGCCGUAAACGAUGGAUACUCGCUGGUGGCAAUAGACCGUCACUGGCUUAGCGAAAGCGGUAAGUAUCUCACGNGGAGUACGCGCGCGAGAAGUAGUAACGUUAAGAAAGUAGUUAGGUUACGUGNGAGNGCGACGGACGACGACGACGGAGGAGGAG
rnacentral:rRNA from 1 species